rnacentral:lncRNA from 1 species
GGGCGGAGGAGAGACCCAUCGCCUCAUCUUCGAUUUCCCCUCCCCGAGCUCAUCUGCUCCCGGCGCCCCCGCCGCUGUCGCCGCCUCAGUGUCCCCCGGCUCCAGUCCCGCUCUUAGGACAGCGCCGCCACCGCCGCCUGGCCCUGCCUGCCUCCUGCGCCGCGCAGCCCUCGCGCGCUCCCCGGAUGGCGCUUUACCCCUAGGACCGGCUCUCGAGCCCCACUGUCCCGUCGUAUUUCUUCCCAGUGAAUUCUGACCUCAUUCCCUCGACACAAUGGUGCCUCUCCAGAUUUUUUGACAGUCACCUCAGGAAAUUGACACAGACACGCUGUGAUCCUGGCUUCUUGCAGUUACUUUGUGUGUUCUCAGCACCUGGGCUGUUCAGGGUGUGAUUAAGCAUGAAAAAAUAAAGACCA